rnacentral:rRNA from 1 species
UACGUAGGGGCCAAGCGUUGUCCGGAUUUAUUGGGCGUAAAGAGCUCGUAGGCGGUUGGGUAAGUCGGGUGUGAAAACUCCAGGCUCAACUUGGAGAUGCCACCCGAUACUGCUCUGACUUGAGUUCGGUAGGGGAGUGGGGAAUUCCUGGUGUAGCGGUGAAAUGCGCAGAUAUCAGGAGGAACACCGGUGGCGAAGGCGGGUCUCUGGGCCGUAACUGACGCUGAGGGACGAAAGCUAGGGGAGCGAAUGGG